GAUCAGUUGCGGAUAAGGUAGCAUGAGUUUAGUCUGCGAAGCUUCCAACAUAUGCCUGAGCACUAUCCAAGUCCAGCUCAUCCUUAAUUCCUUUGAUAAUCCCCACAGCAGUAGUAUGUCCAACUUUUGAACUACUGCGUGGUUUCCGGAUCUGGGCACUAACAUGCGUGUCAAAGCAUACAUCAACAUACGAUGCUGGACCUUCAUUUGACCAAUGGGUAGUGAAACCGAUUCAACAAACCCAUCAACCAUCAGGUCUUUAACUGCUGUGUGUCUAUCCAUAGUCUCUUCCCAUCC
rnacentral:lncRNA from 1 species